rnacentral:tmRNA from 1 species
GGCCUUGCAGGCGCCGUCCCGCGCCCCUAUAUUGGGCCUGUUCGGGUUCGCCCGGACUAUGGACAUAAACGCGCAUGUAAUAAACGGAUCGGACCCGGGGGCGGUACCCGGCGGCUCCACCAAACAUCCCUCGUUGGGGGCGAAUGGGGCCGAAACAGGAUCGACGAACGUCUAAAGAUGUUAGCUUUGUCCCGGUGAGCGACCACCGUUAUCGGUGCAAAUUGUACAGUUGCCAACGACAACCGUGCUCCGGCAAUGGCUCUGGCUGCGUAAGCAGUUCGGGUCGCCGAAACUAAGUCCUUACGCUUAGCCGCCUAAGGCGGGGUUCGCAGGUACCUGGCAACAGAAACCUGCACC